AAUAUGUACGAACUGAAAAAAAACUUGUAGACAUAUCCAGACUCAACACGCAUGCUAAGAGAUGUCAUAAACGUCUUUGUUGUUCUCUGAUUUACGUGACACAUUUUGUGCUGAUUUAUUUUCGAGAUAAACUUUUAUGAAGUGCUAUUAUACGCCGUCAGCACACAGGAUCUGACACAUACAAAUUGAUAUUUCAUGAUAAAAAGCGAAAGAUAGAGCACUGCUAUGUAUACUGGACGUAUAUGGUCGUGCUACGUUCAGGUCAUAGGAUCUCGAGACGUAAAGAAGUCGACGCAAAUAGGAUGUUCUUCCAAGAGAGAAAACUCCGCAAUCUUUAUUGCUGUAUCUUUUUUUUAUACUUUUACUGACGAUAUAACCAAGGUAUCUAAUUAAAUAUAGAAACAUAGCACAUACACAACUCGUGCAAAUGUACGAGAUAUAAAAGAUCUUUUAUUUUUUUAAUUUUGAUUAGAAAGGACAUUAGUAAUUGCAAUUAAACAGAUUAAUCAUUGUGUGAAGGAUACAGAAUUGAAAAACGUUACAUGAUCAUAAAAGUAGACUAUUUUGCUUUAAAAAAAAUAAGAUUUAGACGGAAAUGUAUAUGUGAUCCCUAAUUAUUAUGAGAUUAUAAUAAAUUGUGAAUUUU